CGCUCGUUUCUUGGCAUACAUUUUGUUGUUCAGUACUCGUGUGUGUGUAAUGUUUGGAGGUAAAGCAGAGUGCUAUGUCUUUGGUGCCAGCGUGUUUAUACAGUGGUUCUAUCCUCAAUCACUGUAACACAC
rnacentral:snoRNA from 1 species